rnacentral:rRNA from 1 species
CCCUUAGAUGUUCUGGGCUGCACGCGCGCUACACUGAAGCUCUCAACACGUUUUCCCUCCCUGAGAAGGGCGGGUAACCUUUUGAAUCAGCUUCGUGGUAGGGAUCGGGGCUUGCAAUUGUUCCCCGUGAACCAGGAAUUCCUAGUAGACGCGAGUCAUAAGCUCGCAUCGAUUAAGUCCCUGCCCUUUGUACACACCGCCCGUCGCUACUACCGAUUGAACGUUUUAGUGAGGCAUUUGGACCGACGCAUCUCAGUUUAACCGCUGGUUUGUGUUGGAAAGACUUCCAAACUUGAGCGUUUAGAGGAAGUAAAAGUCGUAACA